rnacentral:rRNA from 1 species
UACGUAGGGUGCAAGCGUUGUCCGGAAUUAUUGGGCGUAAAGAGCUCGUAGGCGGUCUGUCGCGUCGGCUGUGAAAACCCGGAGCUCAACUCCGGGCCUGCAGUCGAUACGGGCAAACUGGAGUGUUGCAGGGGAGACUGGAAUUCCUGGUGUAGCGGUGAAAUGCGCAGAUAUCAGGAAGAACACCUAUGGCGAAGGCAGCACUCUGGGACGGUACUGACGCUGAGACGCGAAAGCGUGGGGAGCGAACAGG